GAUACAGCUGUAAUCAAUGGAGCGUGGUGCUGACUGCAGACUACCGCAAAGUGGCAUGCAAUGGUGAGAAUUGCGAUUAUCUGGGGUGUUGUUACAAGUUAUCUUAAUUGGUCGGCAGUUUUAUGGCUUCAGAGAUAAGACAACAUUGAAAUAAACCUACCGACUUUAUGCUUAAAUGUGAAGCGUUUGUCACAGUGUUCGAAGCCGAUUCCAAGACCGUUACAUUGACAACCAUGUGACACUCAAAAAGAUUACCAGAAAGCUGCAUGCUGAAGCAACCAAGCUGUGGCAACAUAUUCAGGCUGCUAAGAAGGUGUCAAUCAACAAGACUUACAACUGAUUGAAUGUGCCUUUAUUUAAUGAACAAUCUUCAAUGUGU